GUGAGGCAGAGGCUCAGGGUUCUUCUGCCUACUAGAGGCAAGAGCCUUCUGGCUUCCUGCAUGUUAAGGUGACUCAAUGUGUCUGUCAUUCAUCAACAACCCCUCCCCAGAGAGAACAAAGUAGCAUGCCUAUGUCCUGGAACAAGGCCAGCCGGCCAGGUGGGGGUUGAUUACAGGGACCCCUCCCUCAAGUAAAAGUAAUAAUUGUGGAGGAAAAAAAUCUCACCAACUUGGAACCUCUCUAUCCAACAUUUUCAACCCUUCUGCACAAUAUCCUAGGUUUCCUGGCUCCUCAACCUACAAAUGGCCAUUGUGGAACCAUCCAGCCUCUGAUCAUAUGCAAGCUGCCCAGAAAGGAGGUGUGACCUGAGUUGGGAAGCAAUUUCUGGAGAGAGUGAACAGUUGGGAGGCAUUAGCCAAAGCACUUCCAGAGCUGAAUAUCCUCAGUCCAACAGUUUUGGAGAUGUGUGGAGUACGCAACAUUGUUCACCUGUCCAGGUUAUGGUGGGUUGCUGGAGCUAUUAGUUUUGGACUGAG
rnacentral:lncRNA from 1 species